rnacentral:rRNA from 1 species
UACGUAGGGUGCAGGCGUUAAUCGGAAUUACUGGGCGUAAAGCGUGCGCAGGUGGUCUCUUAAGACAGGUGUGAAAUCCCCGGGCUUAACCUGGGAACUGCGCUUGUAACUGAGAGGCUAGAGUGUGGCAGAGGGGGGUGGAAUUCCACGUGUAGCAGUGAAAUGCGUAGAUAUGUGGAGGAACACCGAUGGCGAAGGCAGCCCCCUGGGCUAACACUGACGCUCAUGCACGAAAGCGUGGGGAGCAAACAGG